rnacentral:rRNA from 1 species
CCCUUAGAUGUCCGGGGCUGCACGCGCGCUACACUGAAGGAAUCAGCGUGCUAAAACCAUUGUCGAAAGGCAUUGGUAAACCCAUUAAAAUCCUACGUGAUUGGGAUCGGGAAUUGCAAUUAUUUCCCUUGAACGAGGAAUUCCCAGUAAGUGUGGGUCAUAAGCUCGCGUUGAUUACGUCCCUGCCCUUUGUACACACCGCCCGUCGCUGCCCGGGACUGAGCCGUUUCGAGAAAAGCGGGGACUGCUGCUGUCGGGGCGUUCGGGCCUUGGCUUCGGUGGAAACCGCUUUAAUCGCAGUGGCUUGAACCGGGCAAAANUCGUAACA